GGGUUGUGAGGUUAAGCGACUAAGCGUACACGGUGGAUGCCCUGGCAGUCAGAGGCGAUGAAGGACGUGCUAAUCUGCGAUAAGCGCCGGUAAGGUGAUAUGAACCGUUAUAACCGGCGAUUUCCGAAUGGGGAAACCCAGUGUGACUCGUCACACUAUCAUUAACUGAAUCCAUAGGUUAAUGAGGCGAACCGGGGGAACUGAAACAUCUAAGUACCCCGAGGAAAAGAAAUCAACCGAGAUUCCCCCAGUAGCGGCGAGCGAACGGGGAGGAGCCCAGAGCCUGAAUCAGCAUGUGUGUUAGUGGAAGCGUCUGGAAAGGCGCGCGAUACAGGGUGACAGCCCCGUACACAAAAGCGCAUGUGCUGUGAGCUCGAUGAGUAGGGCGGGACACGUGGUAUCCUGUCUGAAUAUGGGGGGACCAUCCUCCAAGGCUAAAUACUCCUGACUGACCGAUAGUGAACCAGUACCGUGAGGGAAAGGCGAAAAGAACCCCGGCGAGGGGAGUGAAAAAGAACCUGAAACCGUGUACGUACAAGCAGUGGGAGCACCCUUUGGGGUGUGACUGCGUACCUUUUGUAUAAUGGGUCAGCGACUUAUAUUCUGUAGCAAGGUUAACCGAAUAGGGGAGCCGGAGGGAAACCGAGUCUUAAUUGGGCGUUAAGUUGCAGGGUAUAGACCCGAAACCCGGUGAUCUAGCCAUGGGCAGGUUGAAGGUUGGGUAACACUAACUGGAGGACCGAACCGACUAAUGUUGAAAAAUUAGCGGAUGACCUGUGGCUGGGGGUGAAAGGCCAAUCAAACCGGGAGAUAGCUGGUUCUCCCCGAAAGCUAUUUAGGUAGCGCCUCGUGAAUUCAUCUCCGGGGGUAGAGCACUGUUUCGGCUAGGGGGCCAUCCCGGCUUACCAACCCGAUGCAAACUGCGAAUACCGGAGAAUGUUAUCACGGGAGACACACGGCGGGUGCUAACGUCCGUCGUGAAGAGGGAAACAACCCAGACCGCCAGCUAAGGUCCCAAAGUCAUGGUUAAGUGGGAAACGAUGUGGGAAGGCCCAGACAGCCAGGAUGUUGGCUUAGAAGCAGCCAUCAUUUAAAGAAAGCGUAAUAGCUCACUGGUCGAGUCGGCCUGCGCGGAAGAUGUAACGGGGCUAAACCAUG
rnacentral:rRNA from 1 species